CCCUAAAAAGUUCUUUAGSC
rnacentral:tRNA from 1 species